GAGGGUAUAGCUUAGUGGUAAAGUUUGUGCUUAGUAUACAUGAGGUCCUGGGUUCAAUCGCCAGUACCUCCA
rnacentral:tRNA from 1 species